ensembl:lncRNA
UUGGGAGUUAUAAUCAUCAAAAUUAAAAGAAAUAAACAUUUGAAAUAUAUCAGUCUGUGUGUAAUGAAUGAAUAUAAUAUACAAGUUUCACUUUUUGAAUGGAGUUAGUGAAAUACAUCAACUUUUUGAUGAUAUUCUAAUUAUAUGACCAGCACCUGUAAUUGGCGGAGAUGGUGCUGCUGAGUUCGGAUGCCGUCCAGGUCGCUCUGCUUAGAUUGUGUUUUUAUUUACUUUUUACUUUCUUUUGCUCUUUCUUUUUACACACAUAUCGUCUGCACUGAUCACUUACGACAAAGGAACACUUUUGGACAUUGGACACCGCUUCACUAACCUGUUUCAGGACACUUUAUCCUCCAACCCAUCGUGGCCAUCUGAGAUUCUCCGGAACGCUGAGAUGAACAAUGGCCACUUAAAUAACCCACCACGGAGACGGAUCAAGAAACACAGCGGGAAACGCACUGGGAUUCGCAACAGACUGAGGAAAAGAGCACACAGCUCUCCUCUACCGAGCAUUCUGCUUGCCAAUAUCCAAUCUCUGGAGAAUAAGAUGGACGAUCUUAGAGCCAGGAUAAGUUUCCAACGGGACAUUAGGGACUGUAACAUCCUUUGUUUGUCUGAAACAUGGCUCAUGACCUUGGUCCCGGACACUGCUGUAACGCCAUCUGAUAACUUCUCUGUUUUACGGAUGGACAGGACAGUAGAGGCCGGUAAAUCCAAAGGUGGUGGAGUGUGUUUCAUGAUCAACAAGCAAUGGUGUGACCCCAGGAAUAUCUCCACUCUGUUGCACUCCUGCUCGCCUUAUCUGGAACAUUUAUCCAUUAUUUGCCGCCCUUUCUAUCUGCCCCGGGAAUUUUCAUUGAUCAUCGUUACUGCUGUCUACAUUCCACCACAGGCAGACACAAGCUUGGCUUUGUCUAAGCUUCACGAUGUGCUAAGCGGUUACAUUAACAAAUCUCCUGAUUUUAACGAUUUUAACAAAGCCAACCUCAGGCAGGUUGUGCUUAACUUUUAUCAACAUGUAUCCUGUCCAACCAGAGGACUGAAUACACUGCAUCAUUGCUACUCUCAGUUUAAGAAUGCCUACAAAGCUCGCUCACUACCGGCUUUUGGCAACUCAGACCAUGCCGCCAUUUUCCUCACACCGGAAUAUAAACAAAGGCUCGUUCAAGAACCCCUGGUGCAGAGGGUGGUGGUGGAGGGCGGUCUCGGACUUGAGUCUG